UGCGUAGGCGGACUAAUAAGUCAGUGGUGAAAUCUUUCGGCUCAACCGAGAAACUGCCAUUUAUACUGUUAGUCUUGAGUUCGGUUGAGGUAGGCGGAAUGUGUAAUGUAGCGGUGAAAUGCUUAGAUAUUACACAGAACACCAAUUGCGUAGGCAGCUUACUAGACCGACACUGACGCUGAGGCACGAAAGCGUGGGGAGCGAACAGGAUUAGAUACCCUGGUAGUCC
rnacentral:rRNA from 1 species